rnacentral:misc_RNA from 1 species
GGUAUGUUGGAUCCCUGCUAGGGCAGCGACUACAUCCUCUUCAUGCCUGUUCAUUCGAUGGUCGGAUUUUGCAUGCGGUCAUCUAGAUUUCGGUUCCCUGUGUUGCAUACCUGUUGCAAAGGUAUCCUGUUGGCUAAAAUGACCCUAUUUCGCCCUACGCUACGAAUUAUAUUGCGGCUGAAGGUGAACCUAAAAGCAUUCAUCGUGUUCCAACCUGUUCACUUCAAUUGUGGCGGGAUUUGGACCUCGAUGAUGUGCUCGAAUUCUCGGAUACGGAAAACUAAGUGGGUACGAGGACCUCGAUCCUCUGUUUACCCUGAACAAGCGUUCUACGCAUCGUGCGAAUGACGUUCUUCCUUGUUUUGGACUUCUGUCC